rnacentral:rRNA from 1 species
AGCACGGUGGUAGCAAUAUCAUGGGUGGCGAGUGGCGGACGGGUGAGGAAUACAUCGGAAUCUACCUUUUUGUGGGGGAUAACGUAGGGAAACUUACGCUAAUACCGCAUACGUCCUACGGGAGAAAGCGGGGGAGCGCAAGCGCCUCGCGCGGAAAGAUGAGCCGAUGUCCGAUUAGCUAGUUGGCGGGGUAACAGCCCACCAAGGCGACGAUCGGUAGCUGAUCUGAGAGGAUGAUCAGCCACACUGGAACUG